rnacentral:rRNA from 1 species
UACGUAGGUGGCGAGCGUUGUCCGGAAUCAUUGGGCGUAAAGGGAGCGCAGGCGGGCAUGUAAGUCUUUCUUAAAAGUGCGGGGCUCAACCCCGUGAUGGGAAAGAAACUAUGUGUCUUGAGUACAGGAGAGGAAAGCGGAAUUCCCAGUGUAGCGGUGAAAUGCGUAGAUAUUGGGAGGAACACCAGUGGCGAAGGCGGCUUUCUGGACUGCAACUGACGCUGAGGCUC